GGGGUGGACCCCGGAUAAGGAGCCUGANAAACGGCUACUACAUCCAAGGAAGGCAGCAGGCGCGCAAAUUACCCAAUCCCGACACGGGGAGGUAGUGACAAUAAAUACUGAUACAGGGCUCUUUCNGGUCUUGUAAUUGGAAUGAGUACAAUUUAAAUCCCUUAACGAGGAACAAUUGGAGGGCAAGUCUGGUGCCAGCAGCCGCGGUAAUUCCAGCUCCAAUAGCGUAUAUUAAAGUUGUUGAGGUUAAAAAGCUCGUAGUUGAACCUUGGGCCUAGCCGGCCGGUCCGCCUCACCGCGUGCACUGGCUCGGCUGGGUCUUUCCUUCUGGAGAACCGCAUGCCCUUCAUUGGGUGUGCCGGGGAACCAGGACUUUUACUCUGAACAAAUUAGAUCGCUUAAAGAAGGCCUAUGCUCGAAUACAUUAGCAUGGAAUAAUAGAAUAGGACGUGUGGUUCUAUUUUGUUGGUUUCUAGGACCGCCGUAAUGAUUAAUAGGGACAGUCGGGGGCAUCAGUAUUCAAUUGUCAGAGGUGAAAUUCUUGGAUUUAUUGAAGACUAACUACUGCCAAAGCAUUUGCCANGGAUGGUUUCAUUAAUCAAGGAACCA
rnacentral:rRNA from 1 species